CGUCUGAGACACAGAGUCGCCUUUGCAGUUGGCAUGUUUUCAGGAUGAUAAAAGCUUCCAUGCCAAACUUUUUUUAUCUUUUUUUCUUUUUUUUUUGGAUAGCAGAGUGGGAAAAUGUAGCUUCCAAGCUGUAAGAAGUAGCUGUGCCAGAGGAGAGGGCAGGGGCCCGACCCAGCAGCUCUAGAGGAAGCAAGCAGCAGCACUGGUGCAGCUGAAACCAACCCAAGGUGAUUUCCUGCAGAUGUAGCAGGAGCAGCCACAGGGAACCUGAAGAAAUGCAACAGCAUGCAAAUGUGAGCUGCCUGAUGGUUUUGGAAGCAGAUGAGCUUGGCACCACUAAACCCUCCCACAUGUUGCUCCAGAGAGGGGUGAGACAAUUCACCUGCUACAGCCUUUGUCUCUGAGCACAAAGCCACGUGUCCCUACCCUGAAACUUGGGUCUCACUGUAGCCUUUUUGGGGCAGCCUUUGUCUAUUGCUUUCACUGCCCUUGGUAGCUGUCCUGUCAGGAUGUGUUGUCAUCUUGCUGUAUCCUGGCCUUUUCCACAGUGCUCAAGGUCUGAGUCACCCUUACCCACAGUCACUCCAUCGGAGCCCUUUCUCUGAACAUGCAAUCCUACUCAUGCUCUUCACAUCCUGACCUUUCACCACUUACUAAUCCCAGGAGGUCUCUACCUCUUAUCCCAUGGCAGCUCAGUUUCUUUAAGAGCUUUUGGGCAUUCUUUAAGUGCUUAAGAGCAUUGCCACAUGCCAUUUGGAAAUCCACAUAAAGCCUGAUUAAUUGUAUCACCCUCAUCUCCAUACUUACCGUUUCACUGCAAGGGAAAAUCACACUCUGCAGUGCUAACUCUUCCCAACAUGGCAAUUAUCUGGGCAUCUGCUGAUUCUGCUCUGAACUGUGGCUUGCUUCAGUGUGGGGCAUUAAACCUGGCUUUAUGCUUUCACUUUGAUGAGCAAUUUAAUCCUGUUUGGCCAUUUUCCCUGUGAAAGGUGGCACUGCCUCCUGGGAGCUGCAGAGCUGCAAUCCAGGGUGGAAGCAGCACUGAGGUGGGGUGGCAUCUGGGGACCUGGCCUGGAACACCAACAGCUUGGCCAUAGGGCAGAGGAAAAUACUUGAACUGCAAAUCCUGACUUCUCUGGUUUCUUGAAGCUGUUGGGAUGUCUCACAUGUGGUGGUGAAAGGAGAGCAUGUGAACAGUGCUGAGCAGGCCACUGGUUCUGCUGCUUAUCAGUCGUCUGGGCUGGGCUUCUCACUCAGAGUGUGUGAAAAAGCAGUACCUUCAUCCACAGCAAAAAAAAGAAAAAGGGUUGCAGUUGCUAAGCGUGAAAUUAUGUAACAAAGUUAGACUUGUGGUAAAAAAGCUAAAUAUUUAAGGGUGAUAAGAUACACAGAUAGGACAAAAAUUCGUUACAUGCUAAAGGAAGCGUUUCCAAAACGACACAAAAAUAAAUGGUUGCUGUCAGUUCCCUGAGGACAGUCCCCUGGUGCCUGAGCAGCCAGAGUCAUAGUGUACAGUUUUGUGGUUUCUCUCCACCCAGUCUAGAUGCCUCACUGGGUGCAGAAGCUCCAGCAAACCAAACUGGAACCAGCAUCAAGAGCUAUGUUGCUGAUGGAGCUCUGUUGGCUCAGCAGCAGGGUGGAGAUUUUUGUGGUGGCU